rnacentral:pre_miRNA from 1 species
AAUAAACUAAAUUUUCACUUUUUACAUAUAAUUUUUGACUCUUCGUCUUAUCUAAAAAAUUUUUACGAUUGAUAUUUUUGUUUUUAUUAGAUGAUAAAUUAUAAAUAGUACUUUACGUGUGACUAAUUUUUUUCUAAUUUUCUAAAAAAAAUUUCAAAUAAGACGGACGAUCAAACAUUGGAUACGGAAAGAAUUGGUU